ACUCAAAUGAAUUGACGGGGACCCGCACAAGCAGCGGAGCAUGUGGUUUAAUUCGACGCAACGCGAAGAACCUUACCUGGGCUUGACAUGUUCUUGACAGCUCUGGAAACAGAGUCUCCCUUCGGGGCAAGAUCACAGGUGGUGCAUGGCUGUCGUCAGCUCGUGUCGUGAGAUGUUGGGUUAAGUCCCGCAACGAGCGCAACCCCCGUCGCAUGUUGCCAGCAUUUAGUUGGGGACUCAUGUGAGACUGCCGGUGACAAACCGGAGGAAGGUGGGGAUGACGUCAAGUCAUCAUGCCCCUUAUGUCCAGGGCUACACACGUGCUACAUUGGCGCAUACAGAGGGCUGCGAUACCGCGAGGUGGAGCGAAUCCCUCAAAGUGCGUCUCGGUUCGGAUUGCAGGCUGAAACCCGCCUGCAUGAAGGUGGAGUUGCUAGUAAUCGCGGAUCAGCAUUGCCGCGGUGAAUACGUUCCCGGGUCUUGCACACACCGCCCGU
rnacentral:rRNA from 1 species